AACGAACGCUGGCGGCAGGCCUAACACAUGCAAGUCGAGCGCCCCCGCAAGGGGAGCGGCGGACGGGUGAGUAACACGUGGGAACGUACCCUUUGCUACGGAAUAGUCUCGGGAAACUGGGGGUAAUACCGUAUGUGCCCUUCGGGGGAAAGAUUUAUCGGCAAAGGAUCGGCCCGCGUUGGAUUAGGUAGUUGGUGGGGUAAUGGCCUACCAAGCCGACGAUCCAUAGCUGGUUUGAGAGGAUGAUCAGCCACACUGGGACUGAGACACGGCCCAGACUCCUACGGGAGGCAGCAGUGGGGAAUCUUAGACAAUGGGCGCAAGCCUGAUCUAGCCAUGCCGCGUGAGCGAUGAAGGCCUUAGGGUUGUAAAGCUCUUUCAGUGGGGAAGAUAAUGACUGUACCCACAGAAGAAGCCCCGGCUAACUCCGUGCCAGCAGCCGCGGUAAAGUCUGUACU
rnacentral:rRNA from 1 species